UUAAGCGACUAAGCGUACACGGUGGAUGCCCUGGCAGUCAGAGGCGAUGAAGGACGUGCUAAUCUGCGAUAAGCGUCGGUAAGGUGAUAUGAACCGUUAUAACCGGCGAUUUCCGAAUGGGGAAACCCAGUGUGAUUCGUCACACUAUCAUUAACUGAAUCCAUAGGUUAAUGAGGCGAACCGGGGGAACUGAAACAUCUAAGUACCCCGAGGAAAAGAAAUCAACCGAGAUUCCCCCAGUAGCGGCGAGCGAACGGGGAGNNNNNNNNNNNNNNNNNNNNNNNNNNNNNNCACAUAUUGUGAGCUCGAUGAGUAGGGCGGGACACGUGGUAUCCUGUCUGAAUAUGGGGGGACCAUCCUCCAAGGCUAAAUACUCCUGACUGACCGAUAGUGAACCAGUACCGUGAGGGAAAGGCGAAAAGAACCCCGGCGAGGGGAGUGAAAAAGAACCUGAAACCGUGUACGUACAAGCAGUGGGAGCACGCUUAGGCGUGUGACUGCGUACCUUUUGUAUAAUGGGUCAGCGACUUAUAUUCUGUAGCAAGGUUAACCGAAUAGGGGAGCCGAAGGGAAACCGAGUCUUAACUGGGCGUUAAGUUGCAGGGUAUAGACCCGAAACCCGGUGAUCUAGCCAUGGGCAGGUUGAAGGUUGGGUAACACUAACUGGAGGACCGAACCGACUAAUGUUGAAAAAUUAGCGGAUGACUUGUGGCUGGGGGUGAAAGGCCAAUCAAACCGGGAGAUAGCUGGUUCUCCCCGAAAGCUAUUUAGGUAGCGCCUCGUGAAUUCAUCUCCGGGGGUAGAGCACUGUUUCGGCAAGGGGGUCAUCCCGACUUACCAACCCGAUGCAAACUGCGAAUACCGGAGAAUGUUAUCACGGGAGACACACGGCGGGUGCUAACGUCCGUCGUGAAGAGGGAAACAACCCAGACCGCCAGCUAAGGUCCCAAAGUCAUGGUUAAGUGGGAAACGAUGUGGGAAGGCCCAGACAGCCAGGAUGUUGGCUUAGAAGCAGCCAUCAUUUAAAGAAAGCGUAAUAGCUCACUGGUCGAGUCGGCCUGCGCGGAAGAUGUAACGGGGCUAAACCAUGCACCGAAGCUGCGGCAGCGACGCUUAUGCGUUGUUGGGUAGGGGAGCGUUCUGUAAGCCUGCGAAGGUGUGCUGUGAGGCAUGCUGGAGGUAUCAGAAGUGCGAAUGCUGACAUAAGUAACGAUAAAGCGGGUGAAAAGCCCGCUCGCCGGAAGACCAAGGGUUCCUGUCCAACGUUAAUCGGGGCAGGGUGAGUCGACCCCUAAGGCGAGGCCGAAAGGCGUAGUCGAUGGGAAACAGGUUAAUAUUCCUGUACUUGGUGUUACUGCGAAGGGGGGACGGAGAAGGCUAUGUUGGCCGGGCGACGGUUGUCCCGGUUUAAGCGUGUAGGCUGGUUUUCCAGGCAAAUCCGGAAAAUCAAGGCUGAGGCGUGAUGACGAGGCACUACGGUGCUGAAGCAACAAAUGCCCUGCUUCCAGGAAAAGCCUCUAAGCAUCAGGUAACAUCAAAUCGUACCCCAAACCGACACAGGUGGUCAGGUAGAGAAUACCAAGGCGCUUGAGAGAACUCGGGUGAAGGAACUAGGCAAAAUGGUGCCGUAACUUCGGGAGAAGGCACGCUGAUAUGUAGGUGAAGUCCCUUGCGGAUGGAGCUGAAAUCAGUCGAAGAUACCAGCUGGCUGCAACUGUUUAUUAAAAACACAGCACUGUGCAAACACGAAAGUGGACGUAUACGGUGUGACGCCUGCCCGGUGCCGGAAGGUUAAUUGAUGGGGUCAGCGCAAGCGAAGCUCUUGAUCGAAGCCCCGGUAAACGGCGGCCGUAACUAUAACGGUCCUAAGGUAGCGAAAUUCCUUGUCGGGUAAGUUCCGACCUGCACGAAUGGCGUAAUGAUGGCCAGGCUGUCUCCACCCGAGACUCAGUGAAAUUGAACUCGCUGUGAAGAUGCAGUGUACCCGCGGCAAGACGGAAAGACCCCGUGAACCUUUACUAUAGCUUGACACUGAACAUUGAGCCUUGAUGUGUAGGAUAGGUGGGAGGCUUUGAAGUGUGGACGCCAGUCUGCAUGGAGCCGGCCUUGAAAUACCACCCUUUAAUGUUUGAUGUUCUAACGUGGACCCGUGAUCCGGGUUGCGGACAGUGUCUGGUGGGUAGUUUGACUGGGGCGGUCUCCUCCUAAAGAGUAACGGAGGAGCACGAAGGUUGGCUAAUCCUGGUCGGACAUCAGGAGGUUAGUGCAAUGGCAUAAGCCAGCUUGACUGCGAGCGUGACGGCGCGAGCAGGUGCGAAAGCAGGUCAUAGUGAUCCGGUGGUUCUGAAUGGAAGGGCCAUCGCUCAACGGAUAAAAGGUACUCCGGGGAUAACAGGCUGAUACCGCCCAAGAGUUCAUAUCGACGGCGGUGUUUGGCACCUCGAUGUCGGCUCAUCACAUCCUGGGGCUGAAGUAGGUCCCAAGGGUAUGGCUGUUCGCCAUUUAAAGUGGUACGCGAGCUGGGUUUAGAACGUCGUGAGACAGUUCGGUCCCUAUCUGCCGUGGGCGCUGGAGAACUGAGGGGGGCUGCUCCUAGUACGAGAGGACCGGAGUGGACGCAUCACUGGUGUUCGGGUUGUCAUGCCAAUGGCACUGCCCGGUAGCUAAAUGCGGAAGAGAUAAGUGCUGAAAGCAUCUAAGCACGAAACUUGCCCCGAGAUGAGUUCUCCCUGACCCUUUAAGGGUCCUGAAGGAACGUUGAAGACGACGACGUUGAUAGGCCGGGUGUGUAAGCGCAGCGAUGCGUUGAGCUAACCGGUACUAAUGAACCGUGAGGCUUAACCUU
rnacentral:rRNA from 1 species